UGGUAGUGUAAAAGUCAAUACCCUCAAACAAUGAAUCAAUUUCAAUGGUGGUUUGAGCAGUAGAGGAAAGGGUCCUCUUAGCUCUCUCGCAAGCAGUUCUCAAUCUUCUAAGAGCCCUUGGAUUUCCACUAAUAUCCUUCUUAUUCUUCCUCUUGAAUUCUUGAACAAAAUGGUUCACCAUCCUGUUAUCAAAAUCUUCACCUCCCAAAUGUGUAUCACCAGCUGUAGCUUUGACCUCAAAGAUACCUUCCUCAAUAGUAAGUAGGGAAACAUCAAAAGUUCCACCACCAAGAUCGAAAAUAAGAACGUUCUUCUCACCCGUGCUUGUAGCUUUCUUAUCAAGACCAUAAGCAAUAGCAGCAGCGGUAGGUUC
rnacentral:lncRNA from 1 species